rnacentral:piRNA from 1 species
UACUGGCUCUGGCUGCUACCUGGUCAGGU